CGGAAGGAAGGAAAGGAAACGGAAGAAGAGAGUGAGGAAACCGAGACCCUCUGAGGGUAGCAGUCCCCCCACUGACAGAAGCAGUCAGCGCAUGGCACCACUCAAAGCUGUCUGGGUAAGAAACAGUUGAUGUAGACCAAGAGGCUCAGUUUAAUACGGGAGGAAUUCUUCGAGCGCUCCCUUGAUCUCUCCUUCCUCGUUUCCUUCCCAUCCCCAGGGAUGAAGAUAUGCAGAGCUUGGCUAGUUUGAUGAGUAUGAAGCAGGCUGACAUUGGCAAUUUAGAUGAUUUCGAAGAAGAUAAUGAGGAUGACGACGAGAACCGAGUGAACCAAGAGGAGAAGGCAGCAAAAAUUACAGAGCACUGCACCGUGCCCCGUGCACAUCAAUCCAUAGGGGUGAAGGCUCUACAUAGGCACCAGCUUGACUUUCUAAAUCCAGGGAGUUCCGAGGUUUUCUCCAGCUCUAGGGCCUUACGUUCAGACUGGAGAGCAACCACUAGCCUUGCGGUCAUCGGUCAUCGGUCAUCGGGGUUGUCUGAGGCU
rnacentral:lncRNA from 1 species